GAUGUAGAAGUACUAAGGA
rnacentral:misc_RNA from 1 species